UAAUCAAUUGGCAAGAGGUCGACGAUUGCGUGAAUUGCUCAAACAAUCCCAACCAGCCCCUCUCAUGGUGGAAGAACAGAUAGUUACUAUUUAUACUGGAACGAAUGGGUAUCUUGAUUCGUUAGAAAUUGGACAGGUAAAGAGUUUUAUCGUUAAGAAAU